rnacentral:lncRNA from 1 species
UUUUUUUCUUUCUUAAACCUAGAUGAAAGAAAGAUGAAGCUUUGGGAGAAAGAAAGAAAGUUUUGGAGACGAGAAAAGUUAGCGAGCUCAAGAACAUCAAAUCUUUCAUUUUUAAGGAAUUAGAGGUAAGAUGGAUAGUAACAUAAUUAUUGGAGAUGAAUUCAUGAGAGGAGAGAAAUUCAUUUUUCUCUGGCCCAAACUCUCUCAUCUCAAUUGGGGGUUUGUAUGUGGGAGUUGGGAAUAUGUUUAUUUAUGAGUUUUAUGUGUUAAUACAUGAAUCUAUAUAUUUAUUCAUGAUUAUUGGAUGAUUUGCUUUGAGAAAAAUACUUACUUUGAUUGUUGAUGAUGUAGUUUAAGUGAUUUUAGUAAGUUUAUAAGUUUAAGUGAAAAUUCAUGAAAUAAGUGCUUAUACUUGUUGUUUUAAGUGAUUUUGAACAUGUAUAAGUAUGAUACAUGUUUGGUAUAAUUUUCUGGAUUGAAAUAAGUGAUUUUCGUGUUGAAAUAAGUGAUUAUUUGAGUAAGCCGAACUCAAAAACGCGUUUUCUGCAAUUCUGCAGUAUGAACAGUGUUUUGCGUCGAACACUGGCCGACGUAACCCCUUGUGUUGAGUAAUUUUGACUUAUGCACCAUGAACCUAUUUUGCUCUGUUUUUCGCGUAGAUUCCGAUUUCGGAAUUAUUUUUCUGAGAUGAUGCUGGGUUAUUGGUGUUUGCUCAUAUUUUGGUAAUAAAGUAUGCUUAAUUAGUUUGAUUAAUUGAAUUAAAUAACUAAUUAUUGUUGAUUAGUUUUAGUAUCUUUUGAGUAUGGAAUAAAUGUAUUUUCCUUAAGUUAUUGAUGAUGAUUAUGUUGUUAACCCUUGUUGAUGCAUUAUGUGUUGAUGAUUAAUGAUGAUGGUUGUUGAUGUUAAUUAAUGAUUGAUGUAUUAUCAUUAUGUUGGAUGAAUUAUUGAUGAAUAAAUCUUAUUGAAGAUUAGUGUGAUUACGUGAUGAUGUAUCAGUGACGAUUCAUAAUGUUAUUGAUUUAUGAUGUUGAAUUAUCAUGUUGAUUUAUUGAUGAUGAUGAAUGAUGAUUUAUCAUGAGUAGAGUUAUUCUAAAGACGAUGAUUUAGAAUAUUUGGAUUAUGUUAUCCAUAUUAUGUUGAUGUUAUAAUUGAGAUAAAACCAUAUGUUUGGUAUAUGCACAUUCAUAAGUUGUGUCUAUUGAUGAGUAUCCUAGAGACGAUGAUCUAGUUUACUGUUAUUCUAGAGACGAUGAUCUAGAAUGUUUUAGAGACGAUGAUCACUUGGUUUAAGUUAUCCAAGAUUAUGAAGAAUUGGUACCACAUGCAUAUAGAUAUGUCUAAGUGACAUCAUAUCUAUGUGACAUUAGAAUGCAUUAGGAAUUGUGUGAUAUUCUUAAAUGUUAAAUAGUACUCGACGUUGUGUAUUUCAUUUAUUUGUUCGAGAGUUUGUACUUCUAAAAUGUGACGAGUAAUUGAUAAAUGAAUAUGUAUGAAUAUAUUUGAUAUAUGUCUUAUACAUGUCUGAGUAGAUCUAUACAUGUCUGUAUAUGUGGUGAUUAUCUGAGUUGAAUUUACUCAAUUGUAUUUAUUUUACUCAGUGUCUGAUAUGCGUUAUAUUCAGUCACUGUUAAUAAUUGUGUUAUCUAAUCCUCCGUUUUGUGUUUGUGCUGAACCGUUGGGUGUUUAGGUUCUCAGGUUGUAUGUUUGUUGGUGUUCGAGUUGUUGGUGAAAGCUCCGCUCUGAUUGUGACACGGGGAAGGGUUUAUUGAGUCUUGUACUUGUAUUCUUAUUUUAUUGUAAAUGUAUUAUUUAGAAAACAAUUUUUAUUAAGCGAUGUUUAUGCUAAUUAGCAAUGUUCUUGAAGUAUGUAAUACCUUAAACCACUAUUUUAUAUUUUAUCUCCGACUUCGAGUCGUUUUAAUUUUAUUAUCCGCUGCGUAUUUU